UGUCUACAAAGAAUCAGCUGAUAUUCAUACUUAAAAAGACACUGGAAUUAAACACUAGUGAUUAGUACAGGAAAUUAGUUGGAAAAGCUUGAGGUACUCUGGCUCUGUCCGGCCUUCACACAUAUGACCAAUAUCCAGCUCCAGCUCUUCCCAAC
rnacentral:lncRNA from 1 species